GCGUCAUAGCGUACCCCCCCACUAAUUCCCUCACAAACCUCACCCCCUGAAAUACAACGGAGCUACUCUACCCACUAAUAGAGGCACUAAUGUUAAAACUAGUAAUAAGAAACACUCUCUGCGCACCCUUCUCAAUCAGAAAUAGAUAAGCUACUGAAAAUUAACAAGCCCCCAAAAAGAACAUUAAACACCUCAAGCCACUUUACCGAACCUCUGUAACCCCAACACAGGUGUGCGACUAAGAAAGAUAAAAAGCUUAACAAGGAAUUCAGCUAAUAGAUCCCAACUGUUUACCAAAAACAUAGCCUUUAGCAUAACAAGUAUUAAAGGUCUCGCCUGCCCAGUGAAUCAUUCAACGGCCGCGGUAUCCUAACCGUGCAAAGGUAGCGUAAUCAUUUGUCCUCUAAAUAAGGACUCGCAUGAACGGCUAACUGAGGUUCUAACUGUCUCAUUAAGCCCAUCAAUGAAACUGAUCUUUCAGUACAAAAGCUGAAAUAAAAACAUAAGACGAGAAGACCCUGCGGAGCUUUAAACUAAUACUAUCAACCACCUUUUUCCCCCAAAGGCACAUCACGAAAUUCAAUAGUAUAAGUUUUCAGUUGGGGCGACUUUGGAAUAAAAAAAAACUUCCAUGCCAGGAACCUCUUCCUAUUUAGGCAAACAUGCCAAAACACACCUAUUGACCCAGUCUAACUGAGCCAC
rnacentral:rRNA from 1 species